CCUACGGGGGGCAGCAGUGAGGAAUAUUGGUCAAUGGGCGUAAGCCUGAACCAGCCAAGUCGCGUGAGUGAUGAAGGUUCUAUGGAUCGUAAACCUCUUUUAUAAGGGAAUAAAGUGCGGGACGUGUCCCGUUUUGUUUGUACCUUAUGAAUCAGGAUCGGCUAACUCCGUGCCAGCAGCCGCGGGAAUACGGAGGAUCCGUGCGUGAUCCGGUUUUAUUGGGUUUAAAGGGCGCGUAGGCGGCCCUUUAAGUCAGCGGUGAACGUCCGUGGCUCAACCCGACAAGUGCCGUUGAAUCUGGGAGGCGGGAGUGUGGUUGAGGCGGGGGGAAGGCGAGGUGUAGCGGUGAAAUGCGUAG
rnacentral:rRNA from 1 species